UUCUAGCAAUGCUCCUGAAGGGGCUCACCUUGCCAGAGAUUUAAAAGAAGCUAUCGAUUUAUUCCAAAAUGGUUCCAUCAAAGAUAAAGUGAACAAGCUUUUUAUUAUUGGUGGCAGCGGAGUGUACCAAGAAGUUCUCGAAUCAAACUAUGACAUCCGACUUUAUCUCACCAGAAUACAUGCAGACUUCGACGUUGAUGUGUUUUUCCCAGAGUUUGAAUCCAAACAAUACAAGGAACUCGACAAUGUUGAAGAUGUUCCAAGAGAAGAACAAGAGGAAAAUGGUAUUAAAUGGACCUACCAUGUCUAUGAAAGAUGCUAACUUUUUUUCCACUAAAUUGACAAUAUUGAGAUUUAUAUUUAUCAUUACCAAUAAACAAUUUCAUUGCUC